GGACAACAUCCCUAAUGCGCCUUGAAAUGAGGAACUCAAAAGUCACGUGUAAAGAAAAAAUCUCUGUGUAGUGAUAUUGGACAUGUUUCUAUUUUUAACAAAUGACUGAACUUAAUUAUUUGUGGUGAUUAAGAAAGUAGAGGAACAUAGAAUAAAUGUGUAAAAACUAUGGAGAUAUUGAACGUGUUCAAAGUAUUAAAUUUUCAAAGAACUUAUUGUGUUAAAAAGGGGAUAUUUUACCACAAGGAGCCGCAUCACAAAAGGAUGUUCGGGGUUUGCUAAUUUACGGAAAAAGUAAUCUCACUUCGUACCCCGAAAAUUUAACUACAUAUGUGAAAAUGUCACAGCUUCGAAACGAGCUAUCAUACAUAUCCAAGUUUACGAUAUGGACUGAGCUACAGGAAAAAACGUUACCAUUAUCGCCUAUGGAAAAACAAUUAAAGAUAUUGAGCCAAUUUACAAAAAGAUAAAUCAGAAGUUUCCAGAGUGAUCUAUGGAUGAUUUCACCUUGUACACCCGGGAAAAUUGUGAAAAUGAUGUUCCAGACAUAUCAUUACUUUUUAACCUGAGAUGACAAACUAGAGGUUUUAAAAGGUCCUGAAUAACUGAAAUGGACAAAAAUACACAGAUUUAUUCAGAAUGUCAUACCGAUGAAGAUCACAUAAAAAUAUUUGGAAAAAUCAGAACUUUGGAUUGCAAUAUGGGACAACAUCCCUAAUGCGCCUUGAAAUGAGGAACUCAAAAGUCACGUGUAAAGAAAAAAUCUCUGUGUAGUGAUAUUGGACAUGUUUCUAUUUUUAACAAAUGACUGAACUUAAUUAUUUGUGGUGAUUAAGAAAGUAGAGGAACAUAGAAUAAAUGUGUAAAAACUAUGGAGAUAUUGAACGUGUUCAAAGUAUUAAAUUUUCAAAGAACUUAUUGUGUUAAAAAGGGGAUAUUUUACCACAAGGAGCCGCAUCACAAAAGGAUGUUCGGGGUUUGCUAAUUUACGGAAAAAGUAAUCUCACUUCGUACCCCGAAAAUUUAACUACAUAUGUGAGAAAAUGUCACAGCUUCGAAACGAGCUAUCAUACAUAUCCAAGUUUACGAUAUGGACUGAGCUACAGGAAAAAACGUUACCAUUAUCGCCUAUG